GUGGGAACAUUACUAUGAUCAAGAGAGUGGGUCUGGAUACAUGGCAUGUCGAUUGAAGACCAUACAAAAUAAAAGCACAUCUCCCAAAGUUGGUGGGCCAGGCCAUUGUCGUUAGCCCUUCACCCGUGACGAAGUGCCAACUAACGAAGACAUCGAGGCAGCCAUUGCUGUUUUGAGAUACUCUGCUGAUGAAGACUCUGUCCGGGAGAAAAUGAAGACUGCCUUCCCUCAUUGCCAAGCAAUGGUUAAUAAUGCAGACAAAUCAGCAGAUGUCUUCUCAGUCUUCCCCAGGGUAUAUCAGGACUGAUAGAACAAGACUGCAGGCUUCUGUUUGGUGAGGCCACAGCCAACAAGUUCUUGGAGAAGUGGCCAACCACUUUCAAGGGAAAAGUGAUGGAAAGUCAUGGACUUACACCCACCACAGAACUCUCGGAAUUGAUGCGCAAUGCUGAGUCAGCUGUUGAAAAUGAGAAUGGCUGGGACAGUGACAUGGCUGCUAUCUUGCUGCUGCUACAUUUGCUACCACCAGCUGUGCAAGGUCGGAAGAAGCCAGGACAGAUGUCUGCAUGUCAAGGGGUAGAUCAGCUCAUCAGAUUUCAAAAGGUUGGAACCAGUGUGCAGCAGCAUCUGGAUAGCAUCACACAAAGCGGUCAGCCCUACCUUCUUGCCUUGGGAUCCACAAAGAGCAGCAUUCACUCCUACUUUGUUGUGAUCGACAAGCAUGUGGUUCCAUGCAAGGCAACGUCCUCAGUAGGAACCUUUGACAAACUCUUUAAGACUCACUUCAUUGUUGGUACAUCAUACAGUUCUUGUCUGAGUAACUUCUUCACUUUUGUGCAAACAACCAUCUAUAACAUUGAUAUGGGGGAAACAAAGGAGACUCCCCAAGUUGCUGAGUUGAGAGCAAGAAUGUUUCAUUAGUGAAGAUCUGCUAAGGUGAAAUUAUGAAGUGUUUUCUAUGCAAGACUGAGCAUACAAGUUCCGCUUCAAGUGUCAAUCAGAAAAUUAUGAUUGUAUAAUAAUAAUAAUUUUCAAGCACCUUAAAGUAAGUAAUGGACUUUGUCCAGGGAGAACUCUUUAUCUAAAAUGUGGUCAAGUGGGAUGUUCACGUUCCUUUGGUAGCUUUUCUGGUUUUAGAAAGCAUUUAAGUAAUUGCCACAUUAGCAGUUUAUUUGGUUCAGUCGAUGAUGUUGAAUUUUCAAACUCUCAAAGCACCUUUAACACUUGUAAAGGUAGUGAUGUUAGAGAAGUGUUGACUGAAAAUGUAGAGUGUUGUGCGUCUGUAAUUGCUGAUCUAAAGGCAGCAGGUGUAGGUCAAAGUACAGUUAAUUCUGUUGUGAAUUCCAUGGAAGAGAGAGUUUAUGAUAUCCAACAGCGAGUUAAAUAAACUGUCGUUAAGCAUGUUCUAUGUGAUAAAGGACAAACUGAAAUAUCCAAGAACGGAGGCAUCUUUUGAAGGGUUAGAGAAUCCUUUCUCUGUGCUAAAUUCUGAAUACAAGAUGUCCACAUUUUUCAGAGAAGUGGAACACUGUAGAACCAGUUGAACAUGUCAUUCAUUGGCUCAAGAUUUGACACAAGACGAAACAAAAAGACUGGAACAUAUGACCAGAUUGUAGUUCAAGACAAAUUCAUGUAUGUUCCAAUAUUGUCUACCUUGCAGUCAAUAUUCAAAUGUAAACAUGUUUCAGAGAUGUUUCGCGAUCCUAGUGACACAAGACUGUGAUGGAUCUUUUAUUAGGAGUCACCCUCUUUUCUCAACAGAAAGACAUGUCAUACAGAUUAAAUUGUUCUAGGAUUAUUUUAAGGUAGCAAACCCUUUCAUAAAUUUGGUGCUAUAUAUUUUACUUUAAGGAACUUCUCUCCUAAAUGGAAUUCUUGUUGGGCUAACAUAUACCAGUGAGCCUUAUUUCAUGCUCAAGAUCUUAAAUGUUAUGGAUUAAGGACAAUCCUUGCUCCUAUUGUUCGAGACAUUAAAGUGUUAGAGUGAUGGCAUUGUGGUUCCUUUAUACAGUGGUUGUGUUCAUGGCAGUGUGGUUCACGUUACUGGCGAUAAUCUGGGUCUUACAUAGUUUGUUUGGCCUGGUGGAGUUUUUCAGCGCAAGGUAUUGCUGUUGGCUCUGUCUUGCAGAAAAAGAUGACUCAGACAGAAUUCUCUGAAGAUUGUCCCAAGAUAGUGUUGUGAACUAAAGAAAUGCACACUGCUCACUGUCAGGAAAUGAAUAGGAAUCCAUCUCUUCCCUAGGUUUUUGGUGUGACGCAUUCGUGUUUAUUAAACUCUGAGUAUUAUCACAGAACUGAGAAGUUGAUGUGUUAGAGGGUGUGGCCCAGUACGAGUUGAAGUUAUUUAUCUGAAGAAAAAACAUGUAACAUCAGCAGAAUUAGAUUUAAGAAUACAAAGUAUUGAUUAUGGAUUCAUGGAAAGAAACAAACCAGUGGCUGUGAAUUUAUCAGAAGGAUGGAAUGAUUUGGGGCUUAAUGCAAUUCAGUCACAGUGCCUACUGAGAAACGCUCCUCUUAUUUUGGGGGAUUUGGUAACUUCUACUGAACAGCACUGGGGCCUGCUCCUUUUAUUACUUCAAAUAGUUAACAUAAUAUUUUCUCCUGUUAACAGGGGGUCUGGUCUCUGUGUUUAUUUAAACAAUUGUUUUCCCAGAGAGAACUUUUACCAAAGCAUCAUUUUCUAAUCCAUUAUCCCCGCUGCAUCUAGAAAAUUGGACCUGUAAUUCAUAGUUGGUGUAUGCAGUAUGAAGGUAAGCAUGUUUUUUUAAAACUACAAUCUUUAAAAAAAAAUGUAAAAAAAAUAUGCCGUAUAAUUGGCAAUCCUCUACACUUUUUAGUCAAUAAGACAUUGGUCCUGUGAAAUGGUGCCUUUGAAUAUGGUAAAAGCUGGUUCUAUGAUUGCUAUGGCAAUGCAAGUGCCCAUUAGCCCAUCAGGUUAUGAAAGUGGACUGGGCUAAAUACCAUGGCUUUGUUUUACCGCCCAAGCAAGGUUAUCUGUUGUAAAAUUGAAUUUGAAAUGCCUGUUUUAUCAAAUGCAGAAGUGUUGCUGCUCACGGUGCCUUUAAUUACUCACAUCCUUCUGUAGCUCAGUUGGUAGAGCAUGGCGCUUGUAACGCCAGGGUACUGGGUUCGUUCCCCGGGAA